rnacentral:lncRNA from 1 species
GUUAUUAGUGGCAAAAGAGGUGUUACUCUUAUGGACAACUUGGAAUCAUACAUUCACUAGUUAGGAAACUAAACGAUGCAGUACCAGAACUCAGUGGCCACAUGGGGAUAUUAAAAUUCGCAAGAUGUCAGCCGUGACGGCCCGUGUGAUCAGGUUAACUGUGAUAAGGACUGGUUCUGCUGCACGUAGUGGAGACAAGCGGGGAUGUGCACGUUGUUUCGCCGUUGUGACAUCUCCCAUAACAUCUGGGCCUGAGCCAUUAAGGCGUACAAUCCUGAGGAAUGACUCCCACGCAGCCCGCAUCAGCACCGCAGUGAGUGACGCUGGGGGCUGCUGAUGUGCUGUGGCGCACACUAAAUUUGGGUGGCGCACAAUGCACCAAAACCCCCCGAAACGGAAUCCCAGGAUAUCCCACCCCCACCCACCACUCGAAACGGAAUAGCCCUCCUCCCUCAGUCCUCAUCCCCUCCUCUUUUACCUCCGCCUUCUCUCGCUAUCACCCCCCUUCCCUCCUCCUCCUCCUCCUUCUCCUUCUCGCCCUCACGUCCCAACUCGGGAGCGCCGCCGAUCGGUCGCCUGGAUUUUCCCUUCUCGGCCAAAAUGGAGGAGGAGGUCUCUCGCUUAAUGAAGGGAGCACAGAUUGUAUGACCGGAUCUGCUUCAAUGAAAGGCGCUGGGAUCCGCUUUUGCCGAUAAAAAUCUGUUGCCAGAAUAAAAACCCUUUGAGGAUAUCUAUCGCUAUUUCUGCACAAGCGACCGCAGCCAUGAGCGCUGGAGAGGGACUAGAUGAGGCUGCGAAGGACGCGGCAGACAUAGCGGCGUUUUUCAAAUCCGAUUGCUCUCUUCCAAAAUGUGAAUCUAAACUGGACGGCCCAGGUCAAACCUCAGGUAGGUCUGAUUGUCACACAAUCUUAAACAGGAAUUUCUUUGCAGACACACACACGGUCUGUUUAUUGUCCAUGCUUAAGAUCUCUAUCUCUACGUGUUUUGCCAGUCAUGUCAUUGAUAUGAUAAGGAUUCCACCUAUUUAUAUUUGUCCAACAUUAAAUGGGAACCAAUGACUUUCGUGUUUAGGGAAUCUUCA